rnacentral:rRNA from 1 species
CCUACGGGUGGCAGCAGUAGGGAAUCUUCCACAAUGAGCGAAAGCCUGAUGGAGCGACGCCGCGUGGGUGAAGAAGGUCUUCGGAUCGUAAAACGCUGUUGUUAGAGAAGAAAAUGCGUAAGAGUAACUGUUCACGUUUCGACGGUAUCUAACCAGAAAGCCACGGCUAACUACGUGCCAGCAGCCGCGGUAAUACGUAGGUGGCAAGCGUUAUCCGGAUUUAUUGGGCGUAAAGGGAACGCAGGCGGUCUUUUAAGUCUGAUGUGAAAUCCUUGGGCUUAACCGGAGUAGUGCAUUGGAUACUGGGAGACUAGAGUGAAAAAGAGGAGAGCGGAACUCCAUGUGUAGCGGUGAAAUGCGUAGAUAUAUGGAAGAACACCAGAGGCGAAAGCGGCUCACUGG